AGAUAAAGCAUAAAUGCAAUUCACUUACAAUGGAUAAAAAGAUUAAACACUUAUCUUUUAAUUU
rnacentral:tRNA from 1 species